UGACUGUCAUUAGUGUUCUCUUGUAGGAGUUUACUUUUUGGUGAGAAAAACCAAUUUUGUAUUCAUUUUUGGGUGUGGUCCACAAAAACAAGACUUUAUUUCUUUAGGAGCAGGAGUUUACUUUUUGGUGAGAAAAACCAAUUUUGUAUUCAUUUUUGGGUGUGGUCCACAAAAACAAGACUUUAUUUCUUUAGGAGCAGGUAAGUGUCGUUGGCCUGUGUUGGAGCUUGUUUGUUGGAAGUGUCUGUAUGCUGUUUUUGACUGUCAUUUGUGUUCUCUUGUAGGAGUUUACUUUUUGGUGAGAAAAACCAAUUUUGUAUUCAUUUUUGGGUGUGGUCCACAAAAACAAGACUUUAUUUCUUUAGGAGCAGGAGUUUACUUUUUGGUGAGAAAAACCAAUUUUGUAUUCAUUUUUGGGUGUGGUCCACAAAAACAAGACUUUAUUUCUUUAGGAGCAGGUAAGUGUCCUUGGCCUGUGUUGGUGCUUGUUUGUGUUUGUUAAAAUUUUAAUUUUUUUUUUUUUUAAAGUUUGCUAAACAAAGUGUUUGGGUUUUCCAGGAUUGAUCUGCAAAGUAGUGUUUGUCUUUCCUGGACUAGGUACUAAAUUUCUUAU